UCAGAUAUAUUUUGAACAGCCGAGGA
rnacentral:sRNA from 1 species